GUGUUGUAGUGUAGAAACGUGGGUGUUGUAGUGUAGAAAUGUGGGUGUUGUAGUGUAGAAAUGUGGGUGUUGUAGUGUAGAAAUGUGGGUGUUGUAGUGUAGAAAUGUGGGUGUUGUAGUGUAGAAAUGUGGGUGUUGUAGUGUAGAAAUGUGGGUGUUGUAGUGUAGAAAUGUGGGUGUUGUAGUGUAGAAAUGUGGGUGUUGUAGUGUAGAAAUGUGGGUGUUGUAGUGUAGAAAUGUGGGUGUUGUAGUGUAGGAACGUGGGUGUUGUAGUGUAGAAACGUGGGUGUUGUAGUGUAGAAACGUGGUUGUUAGUGUAGAAGACGGGAUAUGUAAGGUAAAGUGAAACUGCCAGCUAAGGAUAAUUAAAUGUUUAUUUUACAUUCGUCGUUACAUUCCUUGAUGCAGUCGCAUCGGUCGUCUCAGUCGCAUCACUCGCACAGCCAUCGCUUACUGCGGCGUUUUCUUACAAAACCUUACUUUUUGGUUGCACUACUAUUAAUUGUUUAAAGAUUACAUUGGAAUUACAUUAGAUCUAGCUUAACUUAACAUUCACUAGGACUAUCCAGUACGCCGAGACUCUCAAUAAAU